rnacentral:rRNA from 1 species
AUGCUUUCUUGCUUCCGGCAGCCGCGGCCGGCAGGGGACGCCAGCCAGGAGGGCGCGUCGUCCCGGCGGCCGGCACUGCCGUUCGCGACCGGCCUGUUGUUCGCGUCGUCCCCGUCGACGUCGGGCAAGAACCCGUGGCCGUCGGAGGCGGACGACAUGGAGAAGAAGCGCUGGGACAGCAUGGAGUCGUGGUCCAUGCUGCUGGACACGGCCAUGGGCGCCUCCUCCGGCGGCGAGGGCUCGUCCCGCGACAGCGGCCGCCGCGAGGAGUGGAUGGCCGACCUGUCCCACCUCUUCAUCGGCAACAAGUUCGCCGCCGGCGCCAACAGCCGCAUCUACCGCGGCAUCUACAAGCAGCGCGCCGUCGCCGUCAAGAUGGUCCGCAUCCCCGAGCGCGACGAGGCCCGCCGCGCCGUCCUGGAGGACCAGUUCAACUCCGAGGUCGCCUUCCUCUCCCGCCUCUACCACCCCAACAUUGUCCAGUUCAUCGCGGCGUGCAAGAAGCCGCCGGUGUACUGCAUAAUCACGGAGUACAUGUCGCAGGGGACGCUGCGGAUGUACCUGAACAAGAAGGACCCCUACUCGCUGUCGCCGGAGACGAUCCUGAAGCUGGCGCUGGACAUCUCGCGCGGCAUGGAGUACCUGCACGCGCAGGGCGUGAUGCACCGCGACCUCAAGUCCCAGAACCUGCUGCUCAACGACGAGAUGCGGGUGAAGGUGGCCGACUUCGGCACCUCCUGCCUGGAGACGCGGUGCCAGGCCACCAAGGGCAACAAGGGCACCUACCGCUGGAUGGCGCCCGAGAUGAUCAAGGAGAAGCCCUACACGCGCAAGGUGGACGUCUACAGCUUCGGCAUCGUGCUCUGGGAGCUCACCACCUGCCUCCUCCCCUUCCAGGGCAUGACACCCGUCCAGGCCGCCUACGCCGCCGCAGAGAAGAACCUGAGGCCGCCGCUGUCGAGCUCGUGCCCGCCGUUGCUGAACAACCUGAUCAAGAGGUGCUGGUCGUCGAACCCGGCGAGGCGGCCGGAGUUCAGCUACAUCGUGUCGGUGCUGGACAAGUACGACCACUGCGUCAAGGACGGGACGCCGAUGAUGGUGCACCAGGAGCUCAGGAUCUGGAGCUCCUUCGCCAAGAUCUUCAGGAUGGGGUGCAUCGCCAACAACUUGUCCAUACCGGUGCAUUCUUGA